AACGACAUGACAACGACCGACCCCGCCGGCUCGAUGAUGGUAAGCGGAAAUGUAAACAAACGCGCCCGAAUGUUUGCCCAAGUAUUAACGCAGCAGGCGAGAGUGCGGGCUCAGAACAAGCUCGGUAGAGAUUCUGCGAGAGUGAUGAUUUGGCGCUUUUUGACACCGCGCUGUGCAGCAAUGGGAUUCGGGAAUGGGUUUCAACCCCUGAGGGAAUCCCAAACCAGGCAGGAAGCCAUUGCGCACCCCCCCAUCAUGCCGCUUAAGCCUUUCGAAUCGCUCGACGGAAAGGUUUCGCACACACGACGCAGGCGAGGAGCGAACGCACCGGACCGACAACAGCCCCUGAAGCGGGAAUGAUGGCAACUCGUCGUCGUUGCUGCCGUCGCCGCCACAUCGCCAACAACGGUGUUUCUGUACCCAUUGCUUCCAGGCCAGGCUUCUGCUCCCGGCAGCACCCACAGACCCUCGCUCUAGUUCAGGUUUCACCGAGCAAUGGUAUCAGGUUUUUGCUGUCUUUCUUAUUUUAAUUUUUAUUACAUAAAGUAUGCAUGCGUGUGUGCGUGAUGCAGUUGUCGUUCGAGUUGAGCUGGCACGGUGGAACUUCCACCGGCACGAUGCGCGCAUCAUAAGCGACCGCGCAUACGCCCGGUAGCAUGAUGUGGAGGACAACGCUUCGGUGGCUCUGCUCCACCUGGAGGGCGUCACACGCACACUCGCAUAGCGCCAACCGAUGUACCGAUGCUGGCGAAUUAUCAUAUCGGAGGCGAUGGCAUGGGGGUCAUCUGUUACAACGCGCCAGCAAGAUGACGGGGGAAGGUUAAUUCGCCUUUCACCAGCGCGUCAUACACGCACUCUUUUCGAUCUCGAUUGUGUGACCGCGAAAGAAUUGGACAUGGAUGUGUGUGUGUGUGUUCUUAGGCACGGGAAUGAUGGAUUGUGUGGCUGGUCUGGCCAGAAGUCGGAGGAGCCACGACACACGCACCAGCCACGACCACGAACGAACGGCGACCCGGUUUCGGCGGAAAGUGUUGCGGUCGAUUAGUCUGUGGUUUUGUGAAGCUGUUUGCAUGAGGGUUUAGGUGUUGUUUGUUGUGUCUUUCUCCCCGUUGGACAGCGGAAGUCAAGAACCUACCCGUCCCCGGGCAGGAGGUUGACCUUUGCAAUGGGAAGGAUUCCGAUGACUCCGUUGUUUGUGUAAUUGCGGAGUGAAGUUCAUCCUUAAAGUAAAUAUUCAUUCCAACUAGAACACUAAUGACACCGUUCACCGUUUUGUUAUCAGGCUGUGUGUUGUGACUUGGACGCUAGCUAGACGACACACAGUGUUGCUCCAGAGCGGUGUAAUGUUUCGCAAACAAUCGUAUCCGCUUCCAAGAAAGCUAGUAGUGUACUGUUGAUAGUGCAUCGUUCCUAUCGUUCGUGCUGCAUAUCGGACGGUGGUUUGCGGACGCUCAAAGGCUUUCGGUGCGACAAUACGGACCAAAACAUGUGUACGAAACUCGAUGAAACGUGCCGAUCGUGAGUAAUGUGGCGUGUUUUUGUGUUGUCCGAACGACUGAAGACUAAUGGAACAAUACCUGGAGAAAGAUGAAGCAUUGCCGCCGAUGCAGCAAAGAGCCUUUCCGCGGGCACAUCCCUGCAAUCAUCCCGCGUCGAUGGACACCCCGUAAUGAAGCUGUGUGAGUGGAUGUAUGUUUCCGUCCGUUGUUGGCAUAAAGUGUAAAUUAAUUUUGAAAAUAAUGUUACGAUCCCAAACAAACAGCCAAAACGAUCCCUUGCACUGCUGCCAGGUCAGUCCCUAACAAACAAAACAUUCACAAAAACUCGAGAAACUGAGCCUAUGUAAUGUGUUUUUAGGUCUCUUUAUUCGACCUCCUCCCGUACAAGUGCUCGGUGAAUCGUUGACCGAGUGAAAUAAAAAUCAACACCAAGCGCCUUAA